UCAUGAAUUCGCAUAAGCUCAACUGAUUUUCAAAAAUUCAUGUUACGUUUAUAGCAUCUUGACACUAAACUGGCAGCUAUUACAGAAUAUCUUUUAAAAAAAAGAAACAAUGUGAGAAUUACUCUUGAUCUACUACACCAGAAAUUGAUCAUACAAGAGAAAAAUAUCAACUAUUCUAUUACAAUUUCCACGCAAUUGAUAGCUAGUGAAUACUUGCCCCUUUUGGAUAUGAUUUAUCCAUCAAAAGCUUGAUUCACCAUAAGAAACCAUCAUUUCCAGCAUGCUAUCAGCAACAGAAUCCCACUCUUUGGCCUACAUCUUGCUGAUUUGGCCAACUGGCGGCCAAAUCUGCAGAAUAUAGCCAUGUGACCAACAACAACACCCUUCAAUAUCCUCAGGUUAAUAUCACCUCAUUCAGUAAUAUAUGCAGAAAAUAACUAUAAAAGCUAUAUAUAUAAAGCUAAAGUUGAAACUGCAAACUUCAACUUAUUCAUGCAACUUACACAUUCAGUUUUUUUUAAAGAAAAAUGUAAAUGCCAAAGUACCAAAUAAGUUUUUAUAUAUUCAUGGACUAAACUUAUGCUACAUAGUCUUCACUUUAAAAGUCAAAUAACUCCAUUCUAAAGAGACUUUCAGCAGCACAAUAUUACAGAUUUCAUGAUCAAAUUCAACAGCCAUUUAUGCUAAUAUUAACAUAUGGAUUAUAGACAUUCAUCAACCCUAAGUUCAACAAAAUCAUGGUUUCCAAAACUAACAUCAAAGUUCAGCCAACCAAAACAAGUUCCAAACACAUAUUUUGAACUCAAAAUUAAUUCUAUUUAAGAUGAUCAUUGUUACAUACCUUGUAACUGAAAAAUACAGCAGAGAAAUGACCAAAUAAAGGUCAGAAAACCAAGCUUUUGUAAGCUUAAUAGCAGCAAAAACAGGCAGCAGAAACCAAUGAAACUAAGCAGCCAAAUAAAUAGCAGUAUCAUAGCACUCCAACUCAAAUCAUCUUGCAACCAAAGAGCCCAAAAUUUUAAAAGAGAAGAAUUUUUUGAGUAUUCUUUUAGGUUCUGCAAAAUCUGAUAUGUGUUUUCAGAAAUUUUGUGUAGAGAAU
rnacentral:lncRNA from 1 species